rnacentral:tRNA from 4 species
GCGCUCUUAGCUCAGCUGGAUAGAGCAUUUGAUUGCGGUUCAAAAGGCCAGAGGUUCGAAUCCCCUAGAGCGCGCCA